UGCCAGACUCCUACGGGAGGCAGCAGUGGGGAAUAUUGCACAAUGGGGGAAACCCUGAUGCAGCGACGCCGCGUGAGCGAUGAAGUAUUUCGGUAUGUAAAGCUCUAUCAGCAGGGAAGAAAAUGACGGUACCUGAGUAAGAAGCCCCGGCUAACUACGUGCCAGCAGCCGCGGUAAUACGUAGGGGGCAAGCGUUAUCCGGAUUUACUGGGUGUAAAGGGAGCGUAGACGGCGAUACAAGUCUGAAGUGAAAGCCCGGGGCUCAACCCCGGGACUGCUUUGGAAACUGUGUUGCUGGAGUGCUGGAGAGGCAAGCGGAAUUUCUAGUGUAGCGGUGAAAUGCGUAGAUAUUAGGAGGAACACCAGUGGCGAAGGCGGCUUACUGGACUGUAACUGACGUUGAGGCUCGAAGGCGUGGGGAGCAAACAGGAUUAGAUACCCGGGUAU
rnacentral:rRNA from 1 species